rnacentral:lncRNA from 10 species
UGCCUGGCAUGUUCCUGUGGUGGUCCUUGGAGCAAAAGUCCAUGAUACAGCUGGUCAUGCCACAGAUAGUGAAGAAGAAUAAAACUGUGAAAAAUAAAGGAUGUAUUUAGAAUGCCACAUUCUGCUGAAAAUCAAACUGACAGACACUAGGGCAGGCCCUGAGUUAAGGUGGAUACAAAGGAACCCAAGGCAUGCCUCUCCCAGCACCAGACUUCUGAACAGGCUGGGAGAGUGAGGCAUAAACACAUGAAAUUUUAAUACCAGACAGACAUAGAUAAGUAUAAAACAUGAGAUAAUAAAAAACAGGGUAAUGGCUUUCAAGUGAUUCAAGAUAUGUGACCUUAUUUUCCUAACUAUAAAUUAUAAUUGAUUGUCAGACAAGCAGAUGCACUUAUGAAAAGUAGAAACAAAAGAUCUGACCCUGGGGCAAUGUCAGAAGUUCUUGGGCACGUGACUGCUGUAGGUGUUAAGCUGAGCACUCGGAGGUCAACGGAAAAAGUAAGCACUGCAAACUGGAGUUUUUGGAAAGUCUUCACUUAUUCCAUGGAGAGGCAAAGCUGACCGUAUCUGGUUAGGUGGAGACAAGGGCACUGCAGGACCUAAGGAGAGCAUAAGGCAAGUUUGGAGAAGAGAGGACCUGUGGUGGAUGUGGAACUUAAGUAGGAACAUGCCUGGGGAGAAGAAUUAGGAUGAUGACAUUACAGAGGGCCACACUAAUGCUCAGAGAAAACUAAAGACAUUCUUCAGAAAGACACAAGAAACUCCUAUGUCAGCAAUCAGAAAUUAUGGAAAAAUUGAGAAGGCCCCCAGGAAUGGUGCUCCAUGAAGACUUACAUGGCAGCAGUAUGGGUUGCAGGCUGGUUUGGAGGUGUUAGAACCUUUAGGCAGGAGAGGGUGAGGUGUGGGUGAAAAGAGCUGAGGAGCAUUUCAAGAGAAACGUUAUCAGAAAAGGACUCUGCUUCAACAGGAGAGUGCAGGUGACACCGAAUUCCACAUCAGACCUGUGGACACUUGAGGUAAUGGCAGGA